rnacentral:rRNA from 1 species
GAUGAACGCUGGCGGCGUGCUUAACACAUGCAAGUCGAACGGGAUCCAGGCAGCUUGCUGCCUGGUGAGAGUGGCGAACGGGUGAGUAAUGCGUGACCGACCUGCCCCAUACACCGGAAUAGCUCCUGGAAACGGGUGGUAAUGCCGGAUGCUCCGACUCCUCGCAUGGGGUGUCGGGAAAGAUUUCAUCGGUAUGGGAUGGGGUCGCGUCCUAUCAGGUAGUCGGCGGGGUAACGGCCCACCGAGCCUACGACGGGUAGCCGGCCUGAGAGGGCGACCGGCCACAUUGGGACUGAGAUACGGCCCAGACUCCUACGGGAGGCAGCAGUGGGGAAUAUUGCACAAUGGGCGCAAGCCUGAUGCAGCGACGCCGCGUGCGGGAUGACGGCCUUCGGGUUGUAAACCGCUUUUGAUCGGGAGCAAGCCUUCGGGUGAGUGUACCUUUCGAAUAAGCACCGGC